rnacentral:rRNA from 1 species
CAACAGCCGCGGGAAUACAGAGGGUGCGAGCGUUAAUCGGAUUUACUGGGCGUAAAGCGUGCGUAGGCGGCUUUUUAAGUCGGAUGUGAAAUCCCUGAGCUUAACUUAGGAAUUGCAUUCGAUACUGGGAAGCUAGAGUAUGGGAGAGGAUGGUAGAAUUCCAGGUGUAGCGGUGAAAUGCGUAGAGAUCUGGAGGAAUACCGAUGGCGAAGGCAGCCAUCUGGCCUAAUACUGACGCUGAGGUACGAAAGCAUGGGGAGCAAACAGGAUUAGAUACCCGAGUAGUCCCUGUCUCUUAUAC